rnacentral:rRNA from 1 species
CGCUGCGGACGCUUACACCUGCAGUCGAACGAAGUAGCAAUACUUAGUGGCAGACGGGUGAGUACAUGUGGGUAUCUGCCCUUUGGCCUGGAAUAACACGAGGAAACUUGUGCUAAUACCGGAUAAGUCUUUACGGAGAAAGCUUUAUGCACCAUUGGAUGAGCCCCGGCCACUUGAUUAGUUUGUUGGUGGGGUAAUGGCCUACCAAGACUGUGAUCAAUAGCUGAUUUGAGAGGAUGAUCAGCCACAUUGGGACUGAGACACGGCCCAGACUCCUACGGGAGGCAGCAGUGGGGAAUAUUGCACAAUGGGCGAAAGCCUGAUGCAGCAACGCCGCGUGCGGGAUGAAGGCCCUAGGGUUGUAAACCGCUUUCAGCAGGGAAGAAAAUGACGGUACCUGUAGAAGAAGGUGCGGCCAACUACGUGCCAGCAGCCGCGGUGACACGUAGGCACCAAGCGUUGUCCGGAUUUAUUGGGCGUAAAGAGCUCGUAGGCGGUUCAGUAAGUCGGGUGUGAAAACUCUGGGCUCAACCCAGGGACGCCACCCGAUACUGCUGUGACUAGAGUGCGGUAGGGGAGCGGGGAAUUCCUAGUGUAGCGGUGAAUGCG